rnacentral:rRNA from 1 species
GUGAGUGUUCAAGGGCGCAUGGUGGAUGCCUUGGCAUCAAGGGCCGAUGAAGGACGCGGUAAUCUGCGAUAAGCCUCGGGGAGUUGGUAAACGAGCUGUGAUCCGAGGGUGUCCGAAUGGGGAAACCUCGCUGCGUGUUGUGCGUAGUGACCACGGGGUGAAUGUAUAGCCUUGGUGGGGGUGACGUGGGGAAGUGAAACAUCUUAGUACCCAUAGGAAGAGAAAAUAAGAAUGAUUCUGUUAGUAGUGGCGAGCGAACGCGGAAGAGCCUAAACCGUGUGUGUGUCAAGCGUGCUGGUUUUGCAUGCGCGGUGUUGUGGGGCCGAUCGUCUCAGUUCAGCAUGGCUGGGGCAUGGAUGCAGUGUGGUAGGUGAACAGGUUGGGAAGCCUGACCGGAGUGGGUGAGAGUCCCGUAGCUGAAACCGCAGUGGUCUGUGUGUGUUGGUGCCCGAGUAGCACGGUACUCGUGGAAUGUCGUGUGAAUCUGCCAGGACCACCUGGUAAGGCUAAAUACUCUUGGUGACCGAUAGCGGAUAGUACCGUGAGGGAAUGGUGAAAAGUACCCCGGGAGGGGAGUGAAAGAGUACCUGAAACCGUGUGCCUACAAUCCGUCAGAGCCCUCGUGUGGGGUGAUGGCGUGCCUUUUGAAGAAUGAGCCUGCGAGUUAGUGGCAUGUGGCGAGGUUAACCCGUGUGGGGAAGCCGUAGCGAAAGCGAGUCCGAAUAGGGCGUGUGAGUCGUGUGUCCUAGACCCGAAGCGGAGUGAUCUAGCCAUGGGCAGGGUGAAGCGCCGGUAAGACGGCGUGGAGGCCCGAACCCACCUAGGUUGAAAACUGGGGGGAUGAUCUGUGGUUAGGGGUGAAAGGCCAAUCAAACUCUGUGAUAGCUGGUUCUCCCCGAAAUGCAUUUAGGUGCAGCGUUGCGUGGUGCUUUGCGGAGGUAGAGCGACUGGAUGACUGAUGGGCCCGCGAGGGUUACUGACGUCAGCUAAACUCCGAAUGCCGUGAAGUCAGCGUGGCAGUGAGACUGCGGGGGAUAAGCUUCGUAGUCGAGAGGGAAACAGCCCAGACCAUCAACUAAGGUCCCUAAGCGUGUGCUCAGUGGAAAAGGAUGUGGAGUUGCAGUGACAACCAGGAGGUUGGCUUAGAAGCAGCCACCCUUGAAAGAGUGCGUAAUAGCUCACUGGUCAAGUGAUUCCGCGCCGAUAAUGUAGCGGGGCUUAAGCACACCACCGAAGUUGUGGCAAAAACAUGUUCAACCGAUAACUCGGGUGUUUUUGGGUAGGGGAGCGUCGUGUGGCCGGUGAAGCUGCGAAGUGAUUCAGUGGUGGAGGCUAUGCGAGUGAGAAUGCAGGCAUGAGUAGCGAAAGACGGGUGAGAAACCCGUCCGCCGAAUGACCAAGGGUUCCAGGGCUAGGUUAAUCCGCCCUGGGUUAGUCGGGACCUAAGGCGAGGCCGACAGGCGUAGUCGAUGGACAACGGGUUGAUAUUCCCGUACCAGUGAAGAACCGUCCAUACCGAAGAAUCUGAUACUAACCAGUGCCCCACCCGCAUCAUGCUCCUUUGGAGUGUGUGUGGUGUGUGGUGGUGGGACCUGAGGGUUUUGUAGGUAAGCGUGGUAACAGGUGUGACGCAGGAAGGUAGCCGGGCCGUGCGAUGGUUGUCGCGGUCUAAGGUUGUAGGCCGUGUGGUUGGCAAAUCCGCCACACAUGAGGGCUGAGAGCUGAUGGGCGCCCCACAAUGGUGGGGUGAUCCGGUGAUCCUCUGCUGCCAAGAAAAGCAUCGACGUGAGGUUCAAACUGCCCGUACCCUAAACCGACUCAGGUGGUCAGGUAGAGAAUACCAAGGCGAUCGAGAUAAUCGUGGUUAAGGAACUCGGCAAAAUGCCCCCGUAACUUUGGAAGAAGGGGGACCACCCUGGUGAACAACCCUGGCGGUUGGAUGUGCUGGUGGUGGUCGCAGAGGCCAGAGAGAAGCGACUGUUUACUAAAAACACAGGUCCGUGCGAAGACGUAAGUCGAUGUAUACGGACUGACGCCUGCCCGGUGCUGGAAGGUUAAGAGGAUCUGUUAGAACUUGGUUCGAAGCGGAGAAUUUAAGCCCCAGUAAACGGCGGUGGUAACUAUAACCAUCCUAAGGUAGCGAAAUUCCUUGUCGGGUAAGUUCCGACCUGCACGAAUGGCGUAACGACUUCUCUGCUGUCUCAACCGCGAACUCGGCGAAAUUGCAUUACGAGUAAAGAUGCUCGUUACGCGCAGCAGGACGGAAAGACCCCGAGACCUUCACUAUAGUUUGGUAUUGGUGUUCGGUGUGGCUUGUGUAGGAUAGGUGGG